rnacentral:rRNA from 1 species
CCUACGGGAGGCAGCAGUGAGGAAUAUUGGUCAAUGGGCGGGAGCCUGAACCAGCCAAGUCGCGUGAGGGACGACGGUCCUAUGGAUUGUAAACCUCUUUUGUCGGGGAACAAAGGCGCCCACGGGUGGGCGGAUGAGUGUACCCGAAGAAAAAGCAUCGGCUAACUCCGUGCCAGCAGCCGCGGUAAUACGGAGGAUGCGAGCGUUAUCCGGAUUUAUUGGGUUUAAAGGGUGCGUAGGCGGGUUAUCAAGUCAGCGGUAAAAUCGUGGAGCUCAACUCCAUCCAGCCGUUGAAACUGAUGAUCUUGAGUGGGCGAGAAGUAUGCGGAAUGCGUGGUGUAGCGGUGAAAUGCAUAGAUAUCACGCAGAACUCCGAUUGCGAAGGCAGCAUACCGGCGCCCGACUGACGCUGAAGCACGAAAGCGUGGGUAUCGAACAGGAUUAGAUACCCGAGUAGUC